GCCAGGCGCGGUGGCGCCUGCCAGUAGUCCCAGCUACUCGGGAGCCGGAGGCGGGAGGAUCGCCUGGGCUGUAGUGUGCUAUGCCGAUUGGGUGUUCGCACUAAGUUCCACUGGGUGUCCGCACUAAGUUCGGCACCAAUAUGGUGACCACCCGGGAGCAGGGGACCAUCAGGUUGCCUAAGGAGGGGUGAACUGGCCCAGGUCAGAAACGGAGCAGGUCAAAACUCCCGUGCUGAUCAGUAGUGGGAUCGCACCUGUGAGUAGCCACUGCACUCCAGCCUGGGCAACAUAGCGACACCCCGUCUCUA
ensembl:misc_RNA Metazoa_SRP Metazoan signal recognition particle RNA